rnacentral:rRNA from 2 species
CACCGCGGUCAUACGAGUGCGCCCAAGUGGACAGCCAACGGCGUAAAGUGUGGUUAGGGGCCCAACAAACAACUAAAGCAGAACCACCUCCCGGCCGUCAUACGCUUCUGACAGCGUGAAACCCUCCCACGAAAGUGGCUUUAACCUGCCCGAACCCACGAGAGCUAAGAAA